UUCUCUGUUGUGUAUUGUUGAAAGCUAAAAGAUUCUAUUAGUUUGGUCUUAUUGUUAAUGUCUUUGUGAAUUUUAUUGGCAGGUACAAGCUGGGAUUUUGUCCCAAUGGUUGGACCUCCAUCUCCCGUUGAGGAAGUUCUUCAGAAGAUACAACCGUUGACUUUGUACAACUACGGGCCAAAAUAGAUUCUAUCAACCACGAAAAAUGCUGCUCCACAGCUCCUGAGAUACUAAGCCUCAGGUGCAAGUUCGUAGUUGUACAAAGUCAUGUAAAACCAUGGACUUAACUUUGGAGUUCUAUCCGAAUAGUCGAAAAAGUAAGUGCACUUUGUGUCAUAGUUAGCCAAAUCAAUUCUUAUAAACCAUUUCCGUCUAUUCUACUACCAUAAACCCGGGAUACUACACUUGUAGCCAGGACCUACCUUGAGUAGAAGCUAAUGAAGUAGGUGAUGAUCAUAUACAAUACUAAAAGUUGAAUAAGAGCUCCUCUCAUGCUGUCCACAUAAGCACAAAAAAUCAACCUAUCACAAAGCUUUAAGUUGCCAGCUCGACCUGUCCUAUUUCUUCAUUGCGAAGCGGAUGAUUUGAAACCAAUCGUCUCUUCACCUUUCUUUUCGUCUCAAUGCAUCCUUUAAUUAUAGUCUGUCUGUCUCCCUCUCCACUUCAAAUCCCUAAAUCCCCAAGCAUCACCCUAUCUAGAGUAUUCCCGUCUCUCUGUCAACGGCUCCACAUUCUGGAAAUCAAAACCCACCGCAUCCAUGGCUAACAACCACCAGCUCCUCUAAACCUUCGUUCAUUCAUCUCCCGGAGAAAAGAUCCCGAGUAGCUAUGAAAGCUUCUCUCUCUAGAACCAACGAGGCUUCUUUAUCCGCCGUCAUCUCCAUGCUCGAGCGUGAACGGCAAGGAUUAACAGUGGCAUACGGCGGAGGAUUUCUGCCGGCGCGAUAAGAAAACCGAUGAAGAGAGGAGGCUUAGAGACACGUGGCGUAAGAUUCAAAGAGAAGACGAUUGGGCCGGGUUAACGGACCCGAUGGACCCGGUUCUCAGAUCGGAGCUGAUCCGUAACGGCGAAAUGGCUCAGGCCUGUUACGACGCCUUCGACUUCGAUCCUUCCUCGAGAUACUGCGGCAACCCAUGUCGAGUGUAAUCUUCACUUUGGUCACACAUUGGGUCUGUUGAUUUUUGAAAGCAUUUGACCUUGCAUUAGUUAUGUGUUUUGAUUUAGGUUGGCCUCUAAAUGUAUAACGUCUCCAUUUAGAUCCGACGUGGGUUGUUGGUUCGAUGAGGCUCUUAGAACUCAAGCAGUGCUAUUGGAGGCAGGCUUUCUGAAUAUCUUUGGUCAGUGUCAAGUUUCUUGAUCUCUUAGGAUGCAGUUUUGAUACUUUUUUGCUAUGUACAGAGAAUCUUUAUAAGAUUACAUGUGUGAUUUAAGGUAUUGCAAACUCCAGAGCGGUGUCUGUAUGGACCGGGUAAAUUAGAGAUUGAAGUCUCAGGAAGUAGCUCUCGCUUUGUGGUUGGCUUCUUAUGUACCGAGCUUCUGUUGUUUCCGUGUUCCCCUGUGAGGAGGGCUGUUGUGUUGAUGAACUCUGGAGGUUGGAUAAUGCGCUGAGAUCAAGGUCUGGAAAAACUGAGCAACGACACCGAGUACAUUUCACGUUCAAACGCAGCCACUGGUCUAUGCACUCCACAUGGAAAUUAUGGGCGCAAGGUAAACCUCUAACCUGUAAAAUUCAGACAAUUUCCACUCAUCUAAGGAAUAAAGCAGGCAAACACAGAAUUGUAGCAAAAUUUAUGCAUAAGAAGUUGGCUAAUCCCCUGACAAUGUUAGGAAAAGAGAUGUUUAGUACCUCAUGUCCAAUAUGGAGCUCCUCUAAACAGAUUAAGCAUUCACCGCAAUCAUCUGGGACAGCUUUUAACCUGAACUUUGGAAGUUCUCGUAUGAGUGCCUCCACAGCUUCAGUCUGCUUCGAGUCAUAUUCACGUUAAGGAUAGUUACUUAAAUGCUUAACGUACUGAGAACAAAACGACAAGACUUGCCUGAGCAGGAGUCAAGUAAAGUCCAGGAUGGAUGAGCCUAUUGAUAAGAGCAAGCACUGGGGUGAUUUGGAGGAAGAGGAACAAGAGGAGGAGAUGGAUGAAGAGGAACUAGAAGACGACAUGGAAUCGGUUGAUACAUUGUCGAGGUAUUGUUUUGCUUUAAACUCUGAGGUGUAUUUGUUUGCUUAUUAUAUACUGUAAUAUCUUUUUUUCAUUAUUAUUAUUACUUUUUAUUAUAUACUAAUAUCCAAGUAUGAAACUGAACAUUUUUCCCUUUUUCAGCACUCCAACUGGCACAGAGACACCGAAUCAGGGCCGGUCCUGAGGAAAGCCGGAUGAAACAUUCGCCUAGGACCCCUAAAUUUUUUGAAAAAAACUACAUAAAUAUAGGCCCCCAAAUUUUUUAAAAAGGCCCCCAAAUUUUUUUAAAAAAAUUUUCAAUGAAAUCUUUACGAAUAUCGCCUAAGGGCCCCGAAAUCUCGGGGCCGGCCCUGCACCGAAUGCAAUUGAAGCAGAGAAAGGAAUCCGAUAGGCCUCUAUAUCAAGUAGGAAAACCAAUUUUAAUUGAUGCCGAGCAGUAUUUUACUGUUAGCUCUUAUUGGUUGGUUUUUAAUGCUGUCCUUUUAAAAAAAUUCUGAAGGUACUUGAAGAAUUGCUCCUGGAACAGUGUUGUGAACCACACACACAUACGUUAUUAAAACUGGUACUCAAGACAAGCCGGGAGCAAAAAGGGUAAGCAAUCUAUGUCGGACUUACCAAACAUUUUGUUUACUAAAGGAAUUGGUAGGCACUUUAAGUAUGUCGUUGUCAAAUACUUAAUGAUAGUUCAUGGUUAGUUGGAAAUGAGGCUAAAACUUUAGAAGUAAUUUGAUCUAUUGAGGUUGUUCGGUCAUGUAGACCGUGUUAGUUUUGCAUUGUCCAAGUCUUGUGUGUUUUUGAGAAUCAUUGGUAUUAGGUAUAGACGUUUAGUUAUGGUAGUGUCUUCUGACGCUUGCUAUAUGCAUUUAAUACGUCCUCGAUUUUCGGUUUGAUUUAUAACAAGCGGCUAAUUUAUGCAAUUGUGUAAAUAUGACCCGAUUGAUUUGCUGAUGAGGGGCAAAAGACAGAUCGUGUGGAUAUCAGUUUACAGCCAGAAGAGCUGGAGGCCAUGUAUGAGGAGGUAAGAGAAGAGGAGAGAAACUACGCAAUAGGCCAGAGGACUUCAGUGACAUGGUCGCCGAGAUGCAAAAAGUACAUCAGAUAUGAAUCAUGCAAGCAUGACAAGAGUCAGGGGAAGUAUCACUAAGGCAGAUCCAUGAUGAUGAUAGAUUCUGAUAAAAGUUAGCCUUCAGGCACUUAAAUCGCACAGACACAGCUAGGCUAUGCGGUCUCAGUAGCGAUUGCGGUUUGUAUUUUGUGCUCUCCGCAGGCCAGUCUCCCUUCACUACUUCUCUUUGAUAAAUUCCAUUACAUAUACGUAGAAAGCCGCAUUGGUUCUCAGUGUCUCAUGGAUCCCAUUACACCUUGCACUUGAAAAGGAACAAAACAAAUUCAAGAAAUAAGGAAGAAGAGCAGAAGUUGUGUCAUGCUGUUUUGGCUGCUAAUCAUUUCAUGUGUAUGGGUGCGAACAAGGUAGUUCUCGCUAAUUGUAUGCUUUUGUGCUUUGCAUCAUCCUGGUUAUGCAUGUGGAAUUGGAAAUCUUUUUAUUCCUUAGUUGGUGCCUUCACCCUUCAGGAGUUGAAAAAAACCAAAAUCUUCUACAACUUCAACUGGUGAUCUUAGAAUUGGGCUUGGACAGCUUCAUCUAAUGUCAAAAGUUAAGAACAUUGCUUCUCUGCAGCUAUAUGGAGAGGAGCAAGCGAGUGUAAUUUCAAGCAAACAACUUCACCAUAGAACGCAGUUCAUCAUAAUGCCAGUACGAAUAAGAAGUCAGAUCAGAAGAUUAUGUCCUUUUCGGGUAUCAGCUCUGUCUCUUCUUCCAUAAGAAGAUCAAAGAAAACGAUGGCCAUUGAACAAGUCGUUUAUCUCUAUAGUUUGGACUUGACAUAGCGCUUCAGAGAAAGGGAAUAGAGUUUUCAUAAAUCAUUAUUGUUUUUCUUUUAUGUUGCAUUAGCUCUCAGUUAGGUCAAUUUCUCAAAUGAAAAAUAAGUUUUUGAAAUUAAGAUACAUAUAAAUGUACGUUUUAAACUUUGUCAAAAUAUCAUAACAAAUACAUUUCUCUUUCCGUAAUUGUUAAA